UGCGCAUCGCCCGCGGGGAGCGGGGCUCGGGGUGCAGCGGAGAGCCUGCCAGCCCGUAGCGGAGAGCGGCAUGCCCGCCCGGCGGCCCCCCGCCUGCUAGGCUCCCGUCGGCACCGAGGAGGAGGAGGAGGCGGCGGAGGAGGAGCGGGGUCGGCGGCCGUCCGCCCCGUCGCAGCGCCCCGCCGCCGCAGCCGCCCGCGGGGGAGACCAAGAUGGCAGAGGCGUCGCCCCCCGCCCCGCUCUCGCCCCUGGACGUGGAGCUGGACCCCGAGUUCGAGCCGCAGAGCCGCCCCCGCUCCUGCACCUGGCCCCUGCAGAGGCCCGAGCUGCAGGCCAGCCCGGCCAAGCCCGCCGGCGAGCCGCCCGCCGACGCCGCCUCCAUGAUCCCCGAGGAGGAGGACGACGAGGAGGAGGGGGGCGGCUCGGCCAUGGCCGUCGGCAGCGCGGCCCCCGCCGGCGGAGAAGCGGCGGCGGCGGCGGCCACCGCCGUCCCGGAGGAGGCGGCGCGGCUGCUGGCCCCGCUGCCCGGAGGCGCCCCGGAGGGACCGAGCCUCUCGCCGGGGGGAGCGGCGGCGGCGGGCGGCGGGGGGCUGAGCGGGGGCCCGGCGGCGGCGCCGAGGAAGUGCUCGUCGCGGCGCAACGCGUGGGGCAACCUCUCCUACGCCGACCUCAUCACCCGCGCCAUCGAGAGCUCCCCGGAGAAGCGCCUCACCCUCUCCCAGAUCUACGACUGGAUGGUCCGCUGCGUGCCCUACUUCAAGGACAAGGGCGACAGCAACAGCUCGGCCGGCUGGAAGAAUUCAAUCCGGCACAACUUGUCACUCCACAGUCGAUUCGUCAGGGUGCAGAAUGAAGGCACUGGGAAAAGCUCUUGGUGGAUGAUCAAUCCAGAUGGUGGAAAAGGUGGCAAGGCGCCCCGGAGACGUGCUGUGUCGAUGGACAACAGCAACAAGUACACGAAGAGCAGAGGGCGGGCGGCUAAGAAAAAGGCAGCCCUGCAGACUGCCCAGGAGACGAGCGAGGACAGCCCUUCUCAGCUCUCCAAGUGGCCAGGGAGUCCCACCUCCCGCAGCAGCGACGAGCUGGAUGCAUGGACAGAUUUUCGCUCCCGUACAAAUUCAAAUGCCAGCACGAUCAGUGGCCGCUUGUCACCGAUCUUGGCAAGCACCGAACUAGAUGAUGUUCAAGAUGAUGAUGCUCCGCUUUCUCCCAUGCUGUACAGUAGUCCAUCGAGCUUGUCCCCAUCGGUAAACAAACCAUGUACUGUGGAGUUGCCUAGGUUGACUGAUAUGGCUGGGACAAUGAAUUUGAACGAUGGACUGACAGAUAACCUCAUGGAUGAUCUCUUGGACAAUAUAACACUCCCUCCCUCCCAGCAGUCACCCACAGGAGGGAUAAUGCAGAGAAGCUCCAGUUUUCCUUAUGGUUCCAAAGGUUCAGGGCUGGGUUCCCCAUCAAGUAGUUUCAACAACGCCGUGUUUGGGCCAUCGUCCCUGAAUUCCCUCCGCCAGUCACCCAUGCAGACCAUUCAGGAGAACAAGCAGGCCACCUUCUCUUCCAUUUCUCAUUACAACAACCAGACGCUGCAGGAUCUCCUUGCCUCUGAUGCACUUAGUCACAGCGAUGUCAUGAUGACACAGUCUGACCCACUCAUGUCACAAGCCAGCACAGCUGUGUCUGCCCAGAAUUCCCGCAGGAAUAUAAUGCUCCGCAACGACCCCAUGAUGUCGUUUGCCGCGCAGUCCAGCCAGGGCGGUCUGGUCAAUCAGAGCCUGCCCCAUCACCAGCACCAGUCCCACAACUCCUCUCUUAGUGGCAGCCGUGCCUUGUCCAAUUCCAUCAGUAACAUAGGCUUGAGUGACUCAAACAGCUUGGGAUCCACCAAACAUCAGCAGUCACCUGUCAAUCAGUCUAUGCAAACACUUUCUGACCCGCUCUCAGGCUCCUCUUUGUACUCCUCUAGCGUGAACCUCCCAGUCAUGGGACAUGAGAAAUUCCCAAGUGACUUGGACUUGGAUAUUUUCAAUGGGAGCCUGGAGUGUGACAUGGAGUCCAUUAUCCGCAGUGAACUCAUGGAUGCAGAUGGGCUGGAUUUUAACUUUGAUUCCCUCAUCUCAGCUCAGAACGUUGUCAGUCUGAAUGUGGGGAACUUCACUGGUGCUAAACAGGCUUCAUCACAGAGUUGGGUACCAGGCUGAAGGAUCUUUGAGAACAGGGAAAAUGGGCAAACAGGCAUGAGAAACGUUAAUGACAAAUCAGGCAAACCAAGGUGGAAUAUUUGUGGGUUUUAGGAAUCACAGAGUUCCAACUCGUCUUCUUUGAAGUUGCAACAGAUGGAUUCUUCUCUGCAGCCGAUGCCACAUCUAGCCAAGCUGUGUUACAUAGGGACGGGGUGAGGGGCUUUGCAGUCAGCGGAGCGAUGUUACUGCAGGGGAGGAGGAAGAGUGUCUUUGCAAGAUCAGUGCAUGCGCUGAGGAUCGGGUGUGUGGGACAGAUCUGGACUGAAUUCGAGUUGCACUGCUGCUGUGGUUCAGCAAUGCUAGAGAAGUUGUUUGGGGUUUUUUUUAAUUGUAUUUCUUGGCAAAGAAAAUGCAGCAAAUGGAGGAAUUAUAUAUUUAAAUAGCAAAGGUGGGAUCCUGGUCCCAGGAACAUCCUGGGUUUAAUGUUUUAAAUAUGUAAAAAUUGUCGGUCCCCUCCAGGACUGGGGUGCGUAUCAUUUUCUUUUGGACUCCACCAAGAGAAUAUCUGUAGGUUUGGAUUCUGACAUAGGUGCUUUUCAAAUGUUAGCCUUUUCAGAUUAAUUUUUUCCAGAUUGAUGUGGUUUUUUUCCAUUGCUUCUUUUCCACAGCUGGGGGCAUUUGAACUUGUAAACAUUGUUUCUGUCAUCCUUUUGUGAUUCUGCAGGCUCCUGCCCAUACCUCUGCCUGCUCACACAUACAUAUUCACUGACUCAUAGGGUAGGUGCCACACAAAGUGCCCUUUCUCCUUUGUUUAUUUAUUAGUAUAAGGGAGUAGAUUUCAAAAUAUAGUAGGAUAAAAGGUUAGCUAUAAAUUAUUGAAAGUGUUCUAUUAACUUCAGAGUAGUACGUGGAGUAUCCCAGUGGUGAGGUUAAACGAGGCUUUCGUUCAGUUUGCAGCUUACUUCCAACUUUCUUAUUUUCUAGAUGAAGGAUGGAAAGGAGGAGUUGAUGUCGUUUGACUUUACGGUGCAUAAUUUGCCCCUUUCAUCUUUAAUUGAGUUUUCCUUCUCUGUUUCACAGUUAGAUGUUCAAGGGGAAGCUUUGCGGUAGGUGAGCAGUAGCGGUGAACCUCCCGAAUGUCUUCUGUGUGUACGGAGUACCGCAGGAGACGUGUGCCGUGGUCUGCUGCCUGUGAGGGAGAACAAGACUGCACGGGAGCCCUCCCUUCAGUCGCUCUGCAAAGCUGCCUCGCUCCGGUGGAGCGGUUGGUUUGCACAGUCCUUUCUCUGUUGGUGGGAGGAUUUCCUCAGGUUCUUUCACAUCUUCUCGCCCAAAGCGAGAGCGUUGCAGUGGAGGGCCUGGAGGCGGGCUGUAGAGGACACCGUGUCCCGCUGACCCUGCACAGGAUGGCGGCUUGGCAAGGCCAGGGCCACAGCUGAAUUCUGGUUUUCCUUCAGUUCCGGUGCUGGAGAAUUUAAGAAAGGAAAGGGGGAAAAAAAAGAAUUGACUCAUGAACCAGGAGGUGAAAACUUGCAGAAGGUCACGCUUGCUGACCACUUCUGUCUUCCUCCAGGUGCAUGAGCUGUUUGGAUUCAAAAACCCUUUUAGCAUGAGGUAAAAACCAAAAGGCUGUAAGAACGUUAUGGCAGUGAAACAUCCAACAGGACAAUCUGCCAAAUGGGGCCUGAAGACCAGAUGCUAUUGACAACUUUGCUUGACGCAGGCAGACAGGGCAGCCUCCUGCUUUCGUAGCUUCGUCUCCCGCGUAUCGAUGGGUGGAAGCCGCCCGUGGGCAGACCUGCCGAGGCAGCGCGGAGGAGGCACACCACGCCACCGCCGCACCGGCGCUCGCCGAUGCCUCUUCGCCCUGGCCUCUGCCGCUCACGGAGAGCGUAGCUGCUGUGAUCUUUUUCAGGCUGCUCCCUCCGAAUAGAGGAACUGACACAUCUUUGUGAGCGGAGUCUCAUUGCAGAGGACAGAUUUAUUAACGAGGCAGUUCUCCUCAGCGGAUUACUGUCCAGUCAUCUGUGGAAGCCUCUUUCCCUCUCUCUGACAAGCGGACCGGCUGCUGCGGGGUGCCUCUGGUAUCAGGUGCAAGCGCAGAUGAUUUCUGCUGAGCUGGUUCAUCAUGCACCCUUCCUCGUCUGUUAAGCAGCGCUGUUUGAGAGUUUGCCUCCCUGUGAGCAUCUCGUAUUUUGUUAGGGGCACCUCGCAUGACAUCAGAUUCAGUCGUUCUGAAUUGCUUUCUCAGUUACUUCUCCGCUUGGCUGUAGCAAUAGGGACCCCUGAAUUAAAACCUUCUCUCAGCAGUGUUCGUGACCCCAAUAAUGAAUCUUUACAGGCUUGAAGACUGGGGAACGCUUUCAGCAGAACAGCCUGGCAGUUGCUCAUGCUAAAUCCGUUUCACGAGGGUGGCCAGGUGUGUUUUGCAGGCAGGCAGAAGCAGUUACAAUGGAUUAUUGGCAUACCUGGGAAUAGUGAGUGCUGUGUUUUCUAUGAAAAAUAAGAGAAACGUUGGAGUCAGUUUUCGGGAAGAAAAGAAAGAAGCCAAAUGCAUAGGUAUUUAGUUUAUACGUACUCUAGGUAUAGAGGGGGUUUACUUUGGAAGAAAAUCAACUACAGUUUCUUCAUAGGGGAAGUAAAAAACCUGUACAGGAGAUGCCACUGUUGCGGGUUUAGUGGCUGUGCACGUUUGCUGCACGUAAGCCUGUGCAUGGUCCCUGGAGAGAGCCUUGCCUGGUUCCACCGCGCUGGCCCUGUGCCCGUGAGGUUGGCCAUGCCCAGCCUUUCAGAGGGUCCUUACUGAGGCAUAUAAAUGAAUUUGGGUUUGGUUUGUGUUGUUUCUCUUACAAGAAGGAAAGGAGAAAAUCAAUAUGCUUUUUUCUUGUUUUAUUCACUCAGCCAUAAUUUUCCCCUCUUAAGCUGGCUGAGGCUUCUGUUCCUCUGUCUCUGCCUGCUUCCCAAGAGCACUGGAUGUGCCCUCCUGCCACUCAGAUAAUCAUCACCUUGGUUUUUCAGCUUGUUUAUCAAUAAAGACAGACGUCACUAUUCCCUCACCUGUCUCUAGAAUACCUUUUAUUUUUAAAUUAGUGGGUUCUCUUUCUGCCUGGGGUUCCCACAACUCUGCACUUUGCUCCCUGGUCCUUCUCAGCCAGCAAGUCCCAAGGGACUUGGCAUUCACCAAAGACUAGUCCCAAGCAGAGUGGCAGGGGAGACUAUUCGGGACAUUUACUGCUGCUUGGAAGGUCAGGAGCUGGUGAUCAACUACCGCUUGGGCAAACAUUGGGCAAACCCAUCCAAGAAGUUGUUUUUACCUCGAUUGUUUUAGUGAUCCAGUUCACAGCGGCACUGCGCAGGCAGCGAUGCUGACAGGGCUUCGGCAGGGGCUGGAGGAUGGCUCAGCGCGCGCAGGGCAGGAACUUCUUGAGCUGGUUUCACUGUCUGAAAAACUCAUCUAGCUGCAUCUCCUGAGAGAGACUUCAACGUGCCAUUUAGCAGGAUGCCUGUAACAGAGCCGUGCUGGAGUCCCAUUGGCUUGUUUGAAAAUUACAGGUGAAAUACUUCGCAGAUCAGUUAAAGUCACUCAUUUUGCCCUAGCAUCAUGUAAGUCCCAGAUCAUCUUACUGUAGCUAUAAAGUGCACAAGCUAUGCCAUGUAAUGUCGUGUAAUGUUCACACAAUUUGAUGAUUAACAUCUCUGAUAAAGCAAAAUUCUAGGAAACGUAAUGAAAUGACUGUUGGUAUUUCAUUAGUCCAUAUCAGUUUGGACUACUUGCCGAUUUGUUAAUUCGUGUUCAACCUGUUUCUGGGUGAAAUUCAUACCAAAGAUGAAUGCAUAGGUCUGAGGAUGACUUACUAUUCACAACACCACCAUCUUAAAAGUUGAAGUAGAUAGUGAAAAGAUCUCCAUUUGGAUGGAAUUUCGAAUCAGAGAGCUCUGGACAAUAUGCUGCAAGGAAGAUGAUUUUUAUUCUUUACCAGAACCUUGUUUUCUGCUCAUUAAAGCUGAAACGUGGAAACAGAAUCGAUGGACCUCUUGCCUGAGGGUGCUGACAGCCUCAGGACCAUAGUUGCACUUUGUCCUCUCUGAUUUUCAAAAAUGAGGUCCUAGGGGUAGGGCUGGCAGGUUUCUUACAUGGAGCCAAGAUGGGACUGGCUGCCUUUAAAAAAGCUAAAGGAAAUUCAGGAGCAGCAAAUUCUUCUGCUCCAUUUCUAACAGGUUAGUGGUUAAGGCGGUGGCGCGCUUCUAACAUUUAAGUGUUGUUUCAGCCAGCCCAAGUUUUGAAAGGUGGUUUUGUGACUAGCUAAACAUCACGCACGCCAAGUUUAGUCUUUGAACAAAAAUAUCUAUGUAGAAAACGUAUUUCGCUGGGAACAGGGAUGCCAUUAACUCCAAGGAGGGCCUGCCCCGAGCAGGCUCCUCGCUCCCCAGGCACGCACCAGCGGCACGGGAGCAAACUCGGCACUUGUGGCCACUGGGGAGGGGGAGAGGGAAAAGCCGGGCAAACCCCGCUGGGGCUGCCCCCCGUGCAGUCCCGCUGGCCGCAGUGCCCCUUGAAGCCCCUUGCAUGCAGGGGCCAGUCCUACGCUUGCAGGGAUGCUGUGGCUUUUGCUGUGUGAAGGCAGCAGGAGCUGACACACAGGCGCAAUGAAUUGCUCGCUCCUUCUGGGAGCAGGGCUUUUUAGUUUUGGUGGUUUUUUUAAUCUGGGUUUAUGUUUUGGGGUUUUAUUAACCCAGGAAAAAGAUCUGUAAAACCCAGGAUUGCCUCCGCAGCCUUGUAUUGUGAGUGUACAGCAGCUGAAGCCAGGACAGUGGUCUGAUCUUGUGGUUUGGGUGUUCUUCUGUUGGUGUUUUAUAUAGAUACAUUUUUUAGUACCUCAUGCUUUGUCAUGUGAUUCAGCAGCAAUAAUUAGGCAGAAACUUGCUGUCCCUGCAGAUGCCAAGAUUACAGGAUGACAUACUCUCACCAGAUGACAGCACAAACUGAUAUUUUUAGAACAGCCCGCAUCAACUGGUCUCCCCAGUGCUUUCCUCCCUGGAUCGGCAGCACGCAGGUUUUAUUAUAGAAUGAGUCUACACAAAUCGUCUUUCUCAUGUGAAUGAGCCACAAUGAUUGUUUAGAGCCGCAGAUCAGCAUUGGUCCCCAGAUGUGCUGUUGCCUGAUAGCUGGGAUGGUUACAGGUGGUUUUUCUUUUUUCUUUCCUUCUUUUGAGCCAGACUUUUAAGUACCUCCCCCCCCCCCCCCAAAUGUAUUUUCUUGAAGAAGUGCGUAAUAAGAGAUUCUUUUUAGAAACAUAGCGUCAUGCAGCUGAGGAAAGGUCAAGAUCUUUUUUCAUAGCAAUUCAGCGCUCAGCCAAGGUGAUGAACUGACAGCCAGAGAGGUUUAAGUCUUGUGUUGAUGACAGCCAAAGAGCACGGGUACAGCGUAGGCAGCAGGAGUGCACAUAUUUAAGUAGUACCCUACGUAAAUAGCUGGCCUUUCUCUCCUGGCCUGGGGAGGGAGGAUGAAGGAAGGAUGCUCAAACAACCCCCCUGGGCUCCCGGUGCCACUGGUGGAGAGUCUCCUGCAGGAUGCUCCCAUCAACGCUGUCCCUGAUCGAGUCCCACACGGUGCAUAGGGACACUGACCCCAUUAAAUCGGGUACCAGCGGCUGGGUGGUGGGAACGCUCAGCUCUGGUCCACUCUACGGGCGCUAUUUAAUCAGCUUUUCCACUCAGAUUACCGCACAGGGUGGCAGUUGUUGGAGUCUGGCAGAGCGAACAUCUGCUGAGCGGUAAUCGGACAGAGACGCAGCUCAGCUAACGGAGGCCGCUGUGUAGCUGCGGUUGUCUGCCGUUACUCCAGGAAAAAAGCCACUUUUCCCAGAUGAUGCCAUGGAGAAUGGCUUGUGUUUAUGCACUUUUACAGCUGAGCUGAAUAUCUUGCCCAUUGUUUUUCCCCUGUACAGCCUGCUUCUCCUGGCUUUCAUAGGUAAUUUGUUUUUGUACAAAUGCAGAGAAAAUUUGGGUUUGAGGAAGGACCUUCCCUCUCUUGUCUUUUCUACCACUUGUAAGUCAUCAUAGAGGAUGUCCUGCCUUAUAUCAACAUGGUGGCAAUCUUUUUGUGUGACCUGUGUGAGCACUAUUGGCCUGUCAUUUUCAACUUGCCACAGAGGAAAAUGUGAAGACUCCAUAGCAGGGAGGAUGUUUUUAAAAUAGGCUUGGUACCUGGCAGAGAAAAAGAAACUGUCUAUAAGGACAUUCAGAAUAAAAAGUACCUAGCACAUUUCCAUAGCACUAUAAACCCAUAAUUCAGGAUAUUUCCAGCCACGUGGGUACCUUUUACUCUAAAAAGCAGCUCUUGUUCUUCAGAUUCAAAAGCAAAGUCCUUCUCUGGUCUUGCACAGGUGCAGUAGUUAUCCAUCCUUUUCUGAUCCACACUAGAGGUCUCCUUCGCAGUGCUCCUGAAUGCCUAAAGAAAGCACUGUUAUUCCUGCUGGUGUACUUUACCCCUAACAGAAGAUGUAUUUUGCAAGCAUUUUUGGCCUUCUUCCUCUAGUCUAGCAGCAUCCUGCCUAAAAGGUGCUGUGUUCAACACCCAGGCUGAUAUCUUUCAAUUAAUGGCAGUGUCACCCAUAACUGGCAGGAUUUCCACCCUGCUCCUCAGGCCCCUGAACAAAAGGCAGGGGAUAAAAUUUACCAUAAGUUUGUCAAGUUACGAAGCCUGGAGACCUUGUAGAGGGAUGAUGUCCUGUAUCUAAGCUCUCCUCUGUUGGCCAGGACAGAGGAUUGAACCCAGCCAGAUGUAAUGGUUCUCAACAGCAGUUGGGUAUCAGCAGUGCUGGUGCUGGAAAGCCAGCAUAACUGCACACUCACAUGCCUGUAGGUGUAAAAACAAGUGUGUCAGCAUAUGGUCUUCUUGUAUGGGCAACAACACAGUGCACAGUGAUGCAUGUAGUGGAGUUUGCAUGCGCCUGCUUCUCUUGCAAGCAAGUGCAGAAUUUCCUGUGAAUUUGGUUGUUCAGUAUCAGGUCCUGAUACAUUAGGAAAAUCCUGAUCUACUUUUCCUUUUAAGUGUGUGAGCAUGGGUGGACCAAUUUCUCACUGGGUGUCUCCUUUUCAUCUGUAAAAUGGGUGGAAGGGACCUUACCCACUUUUGAGGAUAAAAUGAACUGUCCAGAGAAGUGGUGGAUUCUCCCUUGCUGGAAAUAUUCCAGACUUGGCUUGACAGGGCCCUGAAUAACCUAACCUGAGGCCCUGCCUUCAACAGAACGUUUGACCAGAUGAUGCCGAGUCCCAUCCAGCCUGGACUUUUCUAUGAUUCUGUAGACAAGUGGGAUAUCAGAAUAAUACGUUUAUCAAUAGUUGUGGCACCUCACUACAGUUCUGGGCAAGCCUUUCGUCCCAGGGAGAUGACACGGGUGAUAGAAUGAUAUGCUGUCUUUAGUUACAUUUACUUCCAAAAUACUUGGUUGUCUGCUAUGGUUUGCAAUGUUUCUUGGAGUGUAAGAGCAGUAAUGGAAGGAAAAGAGACACUUUCAUGCUUUACGUGCCUGAGCAAGUCCCAGCACAGCAACUUUUUAGCUCCCGUAAGUCUUAGUUCUGUGCUGGAGUUCUUCCCCUUUCCAUCCUUCUCCCGCACUCUCUGCCCCCGAUUCUGAGCUGGAAAGAUCUAUUUUUACGAGUAGAACUAAAAGAGAAAAAGUGAAGUUGCGAUGUGCCUGAAAGUUCAGGAAAGAAAGCACAUUAAGUUGCCAGCUCUUUUUUUUCCCCUUGGGAUUCGCACCCUGACCUCAGCGUUGUCUCUCAGCACAGAGCCAUCCUAGUCCAGCUAAGCCUUUAGGGUGUCACUGUGGCAUACCUGCCUUGGCAUCGGGAUUCCUAAUUUUUAUUCUGCUUGAACAAAAAAUCUCAUGCUGCAAUGUUGUCAUUAUAGAAGAAUUGGCCACAGUAGUUAUCUUCCUUACUUGUUUCUAAACAAAUACUGUGUAUUCUUCAGUCUUGAGCUGUGAAACCUCAGGCAGAAUAUUAACUUGUAACCCCACAUAAUCAAGUCUUGCUUUUUGAGCUUACCCCCAUUUUGGAGUAGAAGCUGUACUGCUGGUGGCGAUGACAAAUCAAGGGGCUGAGGCACCAGAACAAAUGCACAUCUGUCACUAAAGGACACAAGUUUCCUUCAAAACGUUUGCAUCCCAAGUCUCUGGACAGUAAAAGUAGUUAUUGGGAUUUCCUGUCCCUGGGGAGUCAUUACAGAGUGGUACCCAGGGAAAACACUUGUUUUACAGAUAAGUGGUGAUAUUUUUCAAGAUGUGAUCCACUCAACAAGCCUUCCAGCCAAAUCAGGAGGUCCUUGAUAGGCUGCCAUACAGAGGAGCUGUGUGUUGGUAGUGCAGUUUCUCAUACCAUAAUUAGGUAAAGGAGCACAUAACUUUUUUUUAAUAGAAAACUGUAUGUGCUGAUUCUUAUGUUAGCUUACUGAUAAACUUACCACCAACACACGUUAUCUGUGCCUCGCUCUGGGGAGCAUCGAUGCAUCACCUUUCUAUUCUGAAGAAAUUUCCAGUGGUGUGUAAUUGGCACUAUUGGGAAUCAAAGGGAGAAAGCAACAGGUGGCAGAUGAUCCUUCAGAGCUGUUCUGAUGGUGCACUAGCUGGCUUGGGAGAUGGCCAUCCGGUCAAGUGGUGGUAUGAUGUGAGACAGAAGUGAGGAAAUGUUGUUGCUGGAGGGAAAUCGCAACCAACAGCUCAGCCACAGAGUAAAGCAAGGGUAGCAUUUGUAACUGGUCAGUAGCCAGGUAGAGGAUGAGAGGGCAGAGAAAAGGACAGAAGAAAGGGGCAUCUCAUCUGCCUCAUAAUUGCUUGCAAGCUGAAGAAUUAGAAAAUACAGAAAUACUUGCUUUUUGGUUUACACUCUUCCACCAAAUAGGAUAAACAGAUUUAGCAUGUAGGGUUCAAAACGUCUGUGGGACGUGACAAAGCAGUAGUUCGUCCUCACCCCUUGCUUAAUGCUUUUUCUGUUUCUGUUUUAAAGUCAUUAUUUUCACCAACCACAUGCAUAUAUGCUUGCAUAAGUUAUAGCUUGAUAUAGCACUGGGGAUUCUUCUAACGUCCAGCAGAUGUAUCUUCUGCCAGCCUUCUGUACCCAGGGGGUCAAAACAGCCAUGGUGGAAUUGCCUCUACUUUCAGUGCAUGUGUGCACGUGUGUGUGACAGAGCCCAGGUACCAAUGCGGUUGUGAAGUCUGCACUCCAAAAGAAAGCCUUCGCUUUCUUCAGAAGAAAGUCUUAAGAAGUCUAAGAAACUUUGGGAGAAAGUCUAAAAUUCCUCCUUCCUUUCCACUCCCCGAUGAUUGAAAAUGAGCUUCAGGUUUGACAGAGGAGCUUUUCAAGGGAGAACUGAAUUUUCCAGGGAGUGGCUUAAGGAGUACAGCCAGGUGAUGUUUUCUAGUAGUGCCCUUUUUGGAAGUUCCCCCCAGCCUAAGAAACAAGAAACCAUGCCACACAUAAGAGGGGGCUCUAUGCCUUUGCUGUGGCAAGUUAGUGAACACUGCUCUAACCCACUAGCCCUGCUAGACUGCACCUUUCUUGUAUGCCUCCUUGACCUCUGUUCUAUAUAUUUUUUCAUCAUUCCCUGUGCUCAUAUUUCUGCUGCUCUUAUCCCCCAAAACAGGUCCCAAAAAGUAAAGGCCAGGAAAAAGGAUAAAGGGGCGACUGGAGUAUUUUACCUGGAGAGCUGCAUGUUGCCCUUAGAGGACAGCGUUGUCCUGGCUCACCAGAGGAGAAACCCCGUCUGCCUCUGCAAAUUCAGGGUGACACUCCAGAGGACAAGCUUUUCCCACAGCCGUUGGGAAUGGGAGAAAACCUUGUGUUGGCUCAGGAUGCAGCUGGAGAUAUUUGGAUUUGGGGGCAGGGAGGGAGGAACACUGGAGAGUUGUGGUUCAGGACCACUGAUAAAUGGAGAUGUAACUGGAGUGCUUGCUUCCCCACCUGAUACAGUUUUCAUUGCUAUGAAGCAGCAGGCUGCUAACUCAGGGCUAACAGAGGCUUUUUGUGGUGAGACAGAAAGCGAGAGUGUGUGGUUCUAUUACGAACUUUAAUGGGGUAAUUUGAAGGCAGGCAGGUUAAGACUUUGAUCUACUUCUUUUCAUUUUUUAAUCCAUUUGCAAAGUCCAUGUAAACAGCUGUGAAAAUGGAGCGUGGUUUGGUUCUGCUAUGAGCAGAUUUCACCUCAGCAUUGCGUCUGUCUCCUAAACAUUGGCACUGUCUGAAGGAUGGGUGUCCUCACGAAAAAAUGUCGGGCAGUGCCACUACCACAAAUGAUGCUCAUCAUCAUCCAUCCUCCAGUUUUUUCUCUUACCACUUUGUUUCAUAGUAUAGUAUUUUACAUACAUUUUUAAUUUAAACGUUAAACUACUCUGGUACUUCAUCAGGAGUUCUGUACUUGUUUACUUUUAAUUAAUAGCUCCAUUCAAAGUCAGCAAGACUUCUCACACAUGCUGAAGUUAUAUAUGAAGUUAUAUAUACUCCAUGCCAUGCUCAGCAUAACUGGCAGCUGUAUGGGAGUGAGCUGGCUUGCUGGGCUGCGGCACGUGGGACCCAAGCCUUGCCUUCGGAUGAGGUUGUGCUUUGGGAAGUCACCCAUUUCCAGCCCCCCCUGGUGCUAAGGCUUUAAGGAGAAGUAGAGAAAAGGGCAUGCACUCGUUUGAGCUGCGUACAAGCCACUAGCCAGGUUUUACUGGGGGCUCCCAGGCCUGUCUGGGUAUCUUCUGCUGACCUUGUUAUGGCCAUCAGGACACACUCACCAAAUGGAGUCCUUGCCAGGCAGUCACAUUAAUGAACUGCUAGCGUUAAUUUGCCCUUUGAAAAUGAAGAAAUCAAUAUGUUGAUCCAGUCGGAAAUCCCUUUAUUCACAAAACAGUCUACCCCAAACCCCUCCACAUAAUUAAGGCUAAAGCCAAAUUUUGUUUGGGUGAAACGCACAAUCUGUCUGCUCCCUAAGCUGUGCUGAAUGAAGUUCUCCCCUAACGGCACAGGGAGCAGCUGUCACGCUGUUGCUCUAAUAACCAUGAGACAAAAUGAUUAAAUUUCCAUCAAUCAUUUAGCAUUAUCAGAAUAGGUCAUUUUAAUAAAAUGUUAUCAUAGGAUCAGUGCCUGGCACCUUAGAAAGGAGAGGGGCAGUGAUGGAGAGUCAUCUCGUGACGGCCUUUGAGUGAUCCCCCUUGCAGGAGAUGCUGGUCCAGAUUAAUCCAGCAGUCCCCCGAAGCCACCAUUUUUCAUGAGGGUGCCUGAUACCAGGAUCUUCUGAGAGUAAAGACAUUCCUGUAAUCACCUCAAAUGGCUUUUUGGUUUCAGCAAGUGUCCCCUUGUUCUUGUACUGUAUAGAAAAAUCACCGAUCAUUCGUCUUGGGGAAAAUCCUCAACAGGUUGUAAGAAGUGUGGGGGACUAAGCCCUGCUUUCAGAAGCCAUUUCAGAGCCAGAAGUUACAUGCCCAGCAACGCGGAUGGCUGCCAAGUGGGCUUUCUGUAAAAGGAUUUCAUGGGAAUGUUUAAAUGUACAUACUUCGCAAAACUCUACUUGGUGCCUGUCUGUAUUUUUAAGCCACAGAGUACCUUUAAAAACCUGGCCCCUUGGCCCCCUUAGUUGAAAUGUUCAUCUGUUUUCAGUGUUUUACCUACAUACCAUGUCCAUUUGUAGUCAUCUCCAUGCUGCAUCCAAGGCAUCUUUCCAGCAUCUGUCCCUCUGCAGAGAAGUUUCAUGGCUACAGAAUAAGCUGGACCCUAACCCUGUUUUUAAAGCCGGGUGGACCCUGUCUGUUGACAGUGUGUCGUACAAGCAGGAGAACGGAGAACUCCAAAGUCCAACCCAAAAUUCGUGGCUCCUCACUGCUUCUCUUGAGCAGCCUCCUUUGGCUGUCCUUCAAGGGUGGUGGUCAAUGUCAGAUGCUGAUGGAAGAUUUGUCCAGCCUUUUGGUGAUGCUGAGAAAGGGUGAUCAUGAAAAAUGGAGAAAAGGCCCUCAAACUGACACGAGAUGUAGAGAGAGAACCCUUUGCCAAAUCUGCUGUCAGCAAGUGGACAGUGAUACUGUUUACAGCUUACGACCUUUGUGAACCCUGCAUUAUUUUCCUAACGAAGCAGACUGUUAAUAGGCCCCUUACCGGAGUGAAGAUCCUCUUUUUUUUUUUUUUCCUCUUUUUUUUUUCUCUUUUUUGGGGGGGAAUUGAACUAAUUCUGAAGUAUGCAAAAUCUUCCUUUUCUGGGAUGGCCAAGCACCUGCUGUGGAGACAAUGUUCAGCACCAUCCUGUUAAGAACACACUGUGUAGCCUUUACAGUAGUUACUUGUCAAUGAGUAUGUGGUGUUUCAAUAUAUUAAUGGCUUAUGGGAUGUUUUAAGUUGGCUUUUCUUUUUUGGAGGUUCUCCCUGUCUGCCCACCCUCCCCCCUACAACCUCCAGUUUGAUUUCCUUAGAUUUUUGACCAUUUUUGCUUUCUCUCCCUGGGAAAUCUGAAGUACUGUGCACGUGCCAGGAAAUUAUCGUAGCCCAACACUGCUCAGACGUCAGGGUUUUCUGAGUAUACAGCAUUUGUUACACCGAUCAACCGGCUGAAUUCCAGAGAGAGGUGAUGUGUGUGGUCUGUUUGUUUGUUGGGUUGGUUUGUUUGUUUCUUUCUUACUCUUUCCUUAAAUUUAAUGGUACACCCCCGUUUUCCAUAAGCGUCAAACCAGGGUUGAUUGCAAAACAAGGGAAGCCGGCGAGUUUGCCUCUUGGCUCGUGAGGAUGGACUGACAGCGGGUGCCGUUGCCCGCACGUGCACUGAGGCAGGAGCCCGUUUGCUGCCCACCAGAGCAGGCUCCCCUCCUGCCUUAUGGUAGCAAGGCUGUCCCUACUGCUGCAGCGAGCUGGUGAGGAGUUAUAAGCGGAGCCGCCAGACAAGUUGAACAUAGCCACUUGUAAAGAUGUGUUUGAAAAAGCGAAAAUUAAGGGAAAUACGUCACUUCGCAGAAAAGCUAAACGUAGAGGCUGGGCAUCGGCAGGUGACUUGCAGUGGCAGCGCCGGGAGUUGAGGCACAGGUCGUUGCAGGGUGUGUUACUGCAUCAGUGAUCCUUUGUUUUUGUUUUGGACAUAUCCUCGAUUAUUUUUUCCUUCUCACUGUGUAUAACCUGUUGUGGCAGAAGAAGCAGGAGAGGGAAUGGCAAGGUGACAGUAUCAUACAAAUGGCUUUUCAUAGGAACGUAGAUUGUAACAGGAUAAAUGUCACUGAAAGACAAGGCAGUUUUAUAUAUUUUGCUUCUAAGAUUUUCUUUUGUAAAAUGAAUAAUAAUUAAUAAUAAUAAUGAAUAAAAGGUAUGGUGCUGUAUAGGUCCUCUCUAUAAUCUGGAAAGUUUGAUUACUUUUUAUUAGUAUUUUGGGGAGGGAGGGAUACAAAAAAAGAGGGGAAGACAACAAUGGUACAUAGGAACUCGGUAUGAAGAGGUUCUGAAUAGGACAGUGUAUACAUAAUUCUCCAAAGCGAUAUAUGAAGUUUUUUUCUUUGCAUAAAAGCAUUAUGCAUAUAAAUAUAUAAAUAUAUUUUAUUAUGUACAGAAACGGAUCAUUAUGCAUGGAUGUUAGGAAAACAAACUAGCAUUUUAACCCAAAGUCUCAGUGCAUGAGUUCCCACCAACCCGUGUCCCAUGCAAUGUGGAGUGACUCCCUCUCCCCACUGCCACCGCACAUGCACAGUCGUGCGCGCGUGCGCACACACACACACACACAGACACACACAAGCAUUCGUGGGCCCUUCCUCGCUCCUUACUUUCCAGGUCCCUGAGGUGACAUUGGUGAAACAACAGCUCCUAGUGUGAUGGAAGUUUUGUUUUUGUAUCGUAGCCCCCACGCUGUUCUCUCGUAAAGAUGCAUCUCUUGGUUUCUCCCCGCAGUUAGGACCGUGUAGACUCUGUGCAGUUGUGGUUAUCGUAGCCCUGUAGCAUAUCAACUCUUCCAAGCAGCCAAGGGUUUAUCAUUCGCCUUUUAAAAAAACUUCUCUUUUCUUUUUACACCGAGAUGGUCUGUUUGUCAGCGUGGGGACUAGAUUGUUAGAUUUAUUGGAGUUAGCCGAUGCUCAUUGCCCAUCUCUGUCAGCAGCCAGCCACCCAGGACACUCGCGUGGGGCAGUGGUCACCUGGGCUAGAGGUCCCUUUGCUUAUCGCAGUCCAGCUGCAGGCACCGUUUACCAAAAUUGGUUGAGAGCUUGAUCACCAGCCUCCUCUGAGCGUGUAGCAUUCGCUCUCAGCUUCCCGGUACACCCCGCAACGCGAGUGUACGCGGAAGGACUUCCCUCCGGUGCUCCUCUCCCCGAGGCUCCUCCGCGGCCGCUGCCCUGCGGGGGGGCUUGUCCCCCUGCCCGCGGUGUCGGCCGCCGGCAGAGCCCACACGGUGCCUCCCCGUGCCGGGGCGCAGCGUUGGGCCCCUGCGCGGUGAGCCGCUCGUGAGACCCGGGGUGCCUGCCCAAAGACCACCGACCAGGUCACGGACAGCACCGGUAAGGCCUGACUUGACGGUAUGGCCAAGGUGACCAAAAUCCAUCGUUUUUUGGGGUUUUUUUUUCUUGGUACGGAUGCAGUUCUUGUGAAAGGCAAGGGAAGGCGCAUUAGCUUAAAACAAAUGGGGGCAACUUCUGCUCUGCUCCGGCAGCCUAGCCCCACUGAGUUCAACGGAGCUAGCUCCCGCUGGCAGAAAUGAGGGAGAACGCUGUGGUCUGCUCUGUUCAGAAAAUGGAGAAAAAACACUUGAUUUAGAGACAGACCAUCAAUGGCAGAGAAGUUUGUUUUGGUUUUUUUUUUAAAUAAAAGCAUUAGCAGCUGAAAGGCUUAACCUGCCUCUCGGCAAUGUCGAGGAAAGCAUUUCCAUUGGCGUGGCUGGGACACCUUGGGCCCCUACUUCGGAGAACAUCCUAGCACUCGCUGGAAAGGGGUGGACUUGGCCAACCUCUUUGGUUUGGUUUGGUUUCUGUUGCUCAUUUUUGGGGCCAGAAUUUUCAAACGGAGGUGCCUGUUGUCAGGCUCUGGACGUCGGGGGCUCCAGCGUCGUCGCAGGGGGCAAGUUCCUCUGCCCUCGUGGCUUCUCGAAGGAAGGAGAGGUGCCAGGUCCCCCCAGGCCCAGGGGAAGGUCACCACCCUCUACGCCUGCUGAGGUGCCCAGCAAAUGCCCUCCUCUCCAGAGGUGCUACAUAAAUCUCGCUGAAUUCAAAGGGCCGCUUAUUUAGGUGUCAAAAUACAGACUUGAAUGGCUAAUUUGGGGAACCUACCUUUUGAAAAUUUGGCCUUUGAGUCUUUGAGCAUGUUUAUGCCUAGAAGUUUUCCUUCUGAAACCAUGUAAAACAGAUGAUUGUCCAGAACAAUUCCAUAGUUAUUGUUUAAACACUUGGUCUAAACAAAAGGUCUAAAAAGGUGACAUUUGUGCAGUUCCUAGUCACAGGUUUGGGGCUUGAUUUAAUGAUUUUUGUAAAAGAAUUUUAUCUUGAGAAUAAUCGGGUAGUUGACCACUGCUUAACUCCAGAAAUUUUUGUGCCACCGCUUCAAAAAGUUACCUUUUAGGUCAUGUUUUUCUCUAAAAUUAUGUCAUUGCUUGGCAAUCGGUGUCCUGUAAGUGUUUUCUAGUACACAAUAUACCUUAGGAAUUGCCAACAGAUGCGAAGGGGGACCAGAUACAUUUCGUUACUAUGGGUUGGAAAAAAUGGAUUGUACAUUUGGCUUCACAUGUUUAACUUUUUUUUAAAAAAAGUUGCAUGAUUGGAAAAAAUAUGUAUACAGUAUCUGUAAAACUGUUUUAUCUGUUUUUGUUUCAAGCCAUGUAAAUUGGAAGAAUAUUAAAUCCACAGCCUUAUCGCGCAUGGCCGUCUUUACAUACCGAAGAGCUGAACAGUUUAUACUUUUCAUUUGGGCUAUCUUGUACUUUCAUUUGAAAGCAGACACUCUCAUGUUGCAGUCUUACUGAGGAUUUUAUAUUUAAAAAAAAGAAAAAAGAUGCUGCCCUGGAGGAAUAUACUACCUUACUACACAGAGGUUGGAAGGAAGUUUGUUUUGGAGCAAAACCUGCCCCUUUCCAAACAAAGUAGAGACGCAGUGCUUACUCCACUUGGUGUUAGUAGAUAUUGCCUUGUGUAUUCCAUUUUAAAUUGUAAUCUAGUUUGUAAAAGAGAUGGUGACGCAUGUAAAUAAAGCAUAAUGGAUCUCUACAUUGCA